ensembl:lncRNA
AUGAGGGAGGAGGGAGCUUCACGUAGAGGAGCAGCCUUCAGAGGUCCCCAGCCUGAGCAACAUCUAGGAAGGUACCUUGCUGCAAAUGCCAAACACUUGGAUGAAAGCCUGGAUGAAGUCUUCUCCGGCCACCCUGGGAAGUGCUCUCUGGCCUAUGGUAACCUACAGGUGGAACUUGAGAUACAGAUGACAGUGUGGUGGGAGAGAUGGAGAUGUGACAAAAUGCAGCCCCGUGGAGUAACCUCUAUGACUGAUGUGCUUUCACCAUACAGCCGGAGACACAAGGGAAAAGACUCCAUGGGGAAGGAGAGGGGGGCUCUGGAGGGCUCCACAGAGGCUAUGAUGCUUGGGCCAGGUCUUAAAGGAUAAUUAAACAAGAUGAAAUCUUUGUUCUUGGGUGCAAGUUGUUGGUUUGCAUGAAUUUAAAAAUAAAUACAUAAGAAUAAGAAUAAAUGUAGGGAAAGAUUUAGGUGCCCUCCGGGCCAAAGGCAGGGGCUGGAGAAGAGGACUCAGCGAUUGAUCUUCUAUGUCUGCAGGGUGAACCCUGGAGGGCGUGUGCACACGCUUGUUUGCACACAUGGCUGGUUGUGGGUUCUGGUACCCCUCCGAGAGCAGGAAGGGGAGGAGGACUGGAGAACAGGAGACUUUGCUCAAUCUUCUCAGUCUUCCUGUGUCCCUGGGUCCAAGCAGAGAGAGAGAGAAAAGCCUGGGGCUCACAGAUGAUGGACACGUUUUUUGGAGGAGAACGACAGGCGAAUGGCAUGGAGAGCAGCAGGAGCGAUUUGGGCAGAUAUUGCUCCCUCAUCUCCCAUCCACGGCUGCGUCUCGGGAGACAGGGGCCAGUGACCUAUCUGGCCAAUAGACUGGCAGUGGUCAGAAGUGAUUUUCAUCUCCUACUAUCUCUGUCCGCCCUCCAGAGGCAGGGCCUGGCCUGGAGGAGGGAGGAUCUGAGUAGUUUACUCCUCCCUGAGAAGCACGUGUAAAGGCAGGCCUGGGCCCAAGGAGGAGUAGAGGCAACGUGUUGCUAACCUUCUGCUCCUUUUGGUGUGGUUCAGAAGUCAUUUCCCGGGUGGCUUCUAGGAACCUGCCAAUCCCACGCUAACAAAGACAGCUCGAGGAAGGACCAGCUCAGCCCUUAGCUGGCUCAGGGCCACAGGGGAGCUGCUGGCUGCCCAGAGGCAGGGGCAGCCUUUGCUACUUGCUAACAGGUGUGUGGAUGGGGACUAGGAGGACAAAGACUUAAUCAAAGAGGUUAAUAGGGGUCAUUGUUCACCUGAGUGCACAGCUCUUGCUAGCACACAUAGACAUGGGAAGGCAGAGAGGAGAGGAAGGGGGAGAGAAAUUGUACUCAGUGCUAUUCCUCCUGUGAGGGAGGGGUCACUACAAGAGUUUGGAAAAGACAGGCGAUCCCUGAACCUGGUGUUAGAGUAGCAUUUUCAAACUUAAAAAAUAUAUUUUAAUGCCCAGUGGAUCUGAUGUUCAUUCAUUUCUCCCAGGAGCCCUGCAGGAAGGUAUUCUUACCAGUUAGCCCUCUUUACAGAUGGAAACACCAUGGUACAGAGGGAUUACUUGACCAAAGUUGCAUAGCUAGCAAGAAGUGGGGGCAGAACUCAGGCUUUGAAGUCUUCUGGCUCCAAAGCCCACGUGCUUUGCAACCAUACCAUGCCCAGCCCUUAGGGGAUUCUGGGAAUCCGGAGCCUUCCUCAGGUUCCCCAGGAAGCCCUGGUGGGGAGGAACCAGAAACGUGUGCUUCCUUCAUCCAAGGUGGUAGAGCACAAGGUGGUUGAGCCAGAACAUACGAGCGGCAUGCCCUCAGCAAGUGCACAAAGAAAAACUAAAUGUUUACAUGUAUUUUUAACUAUAGGAGGUAUAUAUAGUUAUGCUUUAAAAAUACACAUAGUACUGAUAAAGCCUAAGCAUUCCCUUUCUCGCUCCUUCCCAGCCCCCUUCCUAGUGGUGACUAGGGAAUGAGUGAGGCCUCACAGACAGCUGCCUAUGCAUUUUACAUACACAUACAAAUAGAAACAUGUAGAUCUUUUGUUUGUUUUUUAUGUAAAUGUUAAAAUGUGGUACAUAUGGUUUGCAAUUUGCUCUUUUCACUUAAAAAUAUGACUUGGAGAUAUUUCAAUUCCACUCCCUAUAGAUCUGCCUCAUUUUUAUCUGCUAAAUAGUAUUCUAUUAUGUAUGUAUAUGUAUGCAUUUGUAUAUACAUAUGUUUGUAUAUAUCUUUAAUUAUUUUCCCCUCUUGGACAUUUGAGUCACUACUAGAAACAAUAUAACAAAGAACAUCUUUGUCAAUGCUUUUCUGUAAACAUAAAGGAGUAUUUCUCUAGGAUAGACGUGAAAUGAAAUUCCUGGCAGAAUUUGUUGAGUAAUGGUAUAUUUAAUUUGAACAAAUACUCUUUGCCAAUUUACAGUCCCACAGUGUAUCAAACUUCCCAUUUCUCCAUACUCCCUGGAGCCCUGAUUAUUAGCAAUAUUAUAGUUUUUACCAAAAUAAUAAUGAUUUGAAUUUCCCUAAUUUUAG